UCUCGGUCGCGGGCAUUGAGCGGCUGGAGUCUGGCGACUGCCCCACGCCCAGCCGUGGGUCGCUAGACGGCGGGCGCACCCGUCGUUCUGGACACGCUUAGUCGGCCCAGCGAGAGGGCGAAGGAGCCGCGGGCGCGUCCCCGCCAACCCUGCUCGCCCGCGCCGAGGCGGGCCACGUGACAGCCCGGGGCCCCGCGCCCCGCCGCGCCGCCUUACUUGGUGUACUCGCGCAGCCCCUUGGCGAACCACACGACGCUGCGGUACAGGGACAUGCCGGGAGCGCCCCACGCCUAGCCCCACCGCGCUCCCGGCGCGGCCUCCGCCCUGGUCCCGCCCCCCGGGAGUCGCCCGCCCUGACAUCAUCCCGGUUAUGUAAGAGCCGCGGCUUCCGGUUCCUUGCUCCACCGGUAAGGCAAGGGGUCUCGGGGCCGGCCGGUCGACUCCGCCCCAGCCUCAGAGGGUGGAGUGAGGGCGGACCGGCCCUGGUGGGGGCCGCAGUCGAGGUCCGCAGUCUCCUCGGGGUCGAAAUCGGGCAUCAGCGCCGUUUAGAGAACACCGUCCUGCUGGGCAUGGCCGGGAUGCGAAGAUGGCCCUGCAACGCACCUCCUAGAAUUUGGUUACCUAGAAAACCAUGUGGAAUAAAACGACGAGGCUUAUGAUAUUUAAAAGACUUCUGCAUCGAAUUGGUGUUAUCAUAAGGGUUAUUUUAAUAACUGGCAUUCUCUAAGUUUCUACACGUGUUGGGGGAUGCAGUGCCGUGCCACAUUUCCCGUCUCCAGCAAGCGCAGUCAGAUUGGCGACAUCGCAGGCAAGAGGCAGGGCUGGGGCUCCCACCCGAGAAGUAAUUGUCUCCAAAGUUGGACUUUUGCCACUGGUUCUGCGACUUCAUGCAAUGCCAGGGAGAGCCCCUUGAUUUCCCCCAAAUCCUCAUCAGCCUCUUUCCACCCAAGCCCAGAUGAACAGUGUGAGUAAAAAAGAGUGUGGUUGCUGCGUGAACCCAGAUCUCAGACUAGUCAUCCAGCCCCAUUAUGUAGGACUCAGACACCCCUGUCCACAUCUAACCUCCAGCCCUAACGCCACAUUAGAAAUGGGGGUCUUACUGCUGCUGUCACUCCUAGUCACCCUGUUAAAUUCUAUACCGGUUUACCCAAGUCGCCCAGAGACUGGGCCCCACUUACAUAAGCUGAAGAGACCAGCUGCUUUAAUAGCCUCAUUACCUAGGAUAUAGGAUCACUGUCCAACCUCACUCCACAGUGGGCAAGUUUUUACUUCAGAAUAACUUUUGAAAUAAAUUUCCCCGGAACAGCUCGCCCCUCUCAACAGGACUCUGAGGCUCCACUACGUUGCUGUUAUUCCUGACAGAGUGAUGAAAGGAAAUUUAAACAAGUGGCAUUUUGUAAAACCACCCCAGCCUGUGUGACUUUCAAUGCCUGUCCGAUUUGGCUGGGAAAAUAUUUUAGAUCCCCAGGGCUACAUACUGUUUUUUAUACCCUCCUCUUUGUGUCAGUGAUGGAAAAGGUGUCAAUCUGCUCUGAAUCUCUCUGAACACCUCAGGAAAUAGGCUUUUGGCUCGCAGAGAGGGGAUGAGAAAUAGUUUUGAACCACCAAGUCUCUUGGAGGGUGUCAGCAGCCCCUUGAAGUAAAAGUGUGGCUGCAAACCCAGCUCUCUGCAUUAGCCAGGUGAACCUGAGCAUGCUGCAUACACCCUCAGUCUUGGUUUCUUAAUAUGUAAAAUGGGAAUGAAUAUGCGCACCUCGUGGGGUGGUUGUGAUUAAAGGCAUUCAUUAUAAAGA
rnacentral:lncRNA from 10 species